rnacentral:rRNA from 1 species
GGACCUCGUCUGUGGAGAGAUUAACCCGCCAAAUUUAAGCAUAUUAAUAAGCGGAGGAAAAGAAACCAACAGGGAUUCCCUGAGUAAGGGCGACUGAAAGGGGAUGAGCCCAGCGCAUAACCUUGCGGUCCGGUGUUGGCCGUCGAGGGGUGUUGCGUAUCGGUUGAACUCGAUUGAAUGAUUUAGUGAGGCCUUCGGCUGAUGCAAUGGUCUUUGUUCUGCCUGCCAGUCAGUUGAGGUAUGUGAUGAGGGCUUGAGUGUGCAGUGCCUGCAGUGGUUAUGUUUUGGCUUUUAGGAGAGUUGACAGGAGUGAUCGGCCUCCUAGCU